UAGCCAUGGUGAUGACACUAAUUUAACAAAUCUUUGAAUCUUUCCCAGAUUUGAUAGAACGUUUAAUUGUCUUUUGGGAAAAAGUGGAAAUCUAUCGUUUUAGACU